GCAUCGGCGGUCCAGUUGUAGAAUGCUCGCCUGCCACGCGGACGACCCGGGUUCGAUUCCCGGCUAGUGCA